rnacentral:rRNA from 1 species
CACGGUGAAUGCCUUGGCACUAGGAGCCGAUGAAGGACGGUACUAACACCGAUAUGCUUCGGGGAGCUGUAAGUAAGCUUUGAUCCGGAGAUUUCCGAAUGGGGAAACCCACUACUCGUAAUGGAGUAGUAUUUUCACCUGAAUACAUAGGGUGAUAAAGGCAGACCCGGGGAACUGAAACAUCUAAGUACCCGGAGGAAGAGAAAGCAAACGCGAUUUCCUGAGUAGCGGCGAGCGAAACGGAAUUAGCCCAAACCAAGAGGCUUGC